rnacentral:rRNA from 1 species
AGCGAACGCUGGCGGCAGGCCUAACACAUGCAAGUCGAACGGAUCCUUCGGGAUUAGUGGCGGACGGGUGAGUAACACGUGGGAACGUGCCCUUUGGUUCGGAGCAACUCAGGGAAACUUGAGCUAAUACCGGAUGUGCCCUUCGGGGGAAAGAUUUAUCGCCAUUGGAGCGGCCCGCGUCUGAUUAGCUAGUUGGUGAGGUAAAGGCUCACCAAGGCGACGAUCAGUAGCUGGUCUGAGAGGAUGAUCAGCCACAUCGGGACUGAGACACGGCCCAAACUCCUACGGGAGGCAGCAGUGGGGAAUCUUGCGCAGUGGGCGAAAGCCUGACGCGGCCAUGCCGCGUGAAUGAUGAAGGUCUUAGGAUUGUAAAAUUCUUUCACCGGGGACGAUAAUGACGGUACCCGGAGAAGAAGCCCCGGCUAACUUCGUGCCAGCCGCCGCAGUAA